rnacentral:lncRNA from 1 species
GAACCUAGCUGACCCAUUCACUAAAGCCCUUUCUGUAAAGGAGUUCGAUUAUCACAAAUCAAAGAUGGGUAUUGUAGUCGUAGCCCACGCCGGAACCCACUCACACCAGCGCCGCCACCGACGUCGGACAAGCAAGAGAGAUACAAACGGAUAAGCACUCUCUCGCUCCCUCGACUCCGGACUCAAGGAUCACCUCUUCGCUCCGCCUACGAAGGGCAAAAGAUUACCCCGUGGUAUCAGUAGGGUAAAACACUUGAGCACCGCAACGGAUUAU